rnacentral:rRNA from 1 species
GAUCAUGGCUCAGGACGAACGCUGGCGGCGUGCCUAACACAUGCAAGUCGAGCGGGGACAUUGCGACGGAGACGAAGUACUCGUACGGAGUCAAAGAUGUAAUGUUCUAGCGGCGGACGGGUGAGUAACGCGUGAGCAACCUGUCCCUUACAGGGGGAUAACACAGCGAAAGUUGUACUAAUACCGCAUAAGACCACAGAGUGACAUCGCUCAGGGGUCAAAGGAGCAAUCCGGUAAGGGGUGGGCUCGCGUCCGAUUAGAUAGUUGGUGAGGUAACGGCCCACCAAGUCGACGAUCGGUAGCCGACCUGAGAGGGUGAUCGGCCACAUUGGGACUGAGACACGGCCCAAACUCCUACGGGAGGCAGCAGUGGGGAAUAUUGGGCAAAUGGGGGAAACCCUGACCCAGCAACGCCGCGUGAGGGAAGAAGGUUUUCGGAUCGUAAACCUCUGUCCCAGGUGAAGAGGAAGAGACGGUAGCCUGGGAGGAAGCCCCGGCUAACUACGUGCCAGCCGCGGC